UCCUCUGCGUACGAUUUCCCCCUCCUCUUCUCCGUUUGCCCGAUCGCGAGCCCUCUCCUCUCACCUAUGAUUUCUCUCCCAGUGACGCCGAGCUCGCCACCGUCCGCCGUCGCCCUCACCCAAUUUCUCAUCGUUGUGGACCAUGGAGCUUUGACGCCGAUGAGCUCUAAUCGUCGAUCACCCACCACCGCUAUCGCUCGAUCGUCGGCUGCCCGCGAGCUCACCGUCGAUGGAGGCUUUCUCCUCCAGUUUGCCUCACCACUAUCAAGGCCUCUUGGCUUCUAGAUCGCUCGGUUCAAUCCGCCCUCUCUCCUUCCUCCUUAUCAUCGAUCCAUCGCCAACAUCCUUUGUGUGGUUCCAGAUCGGGAGUCAUACCCUAGCUUUGAUUCAUUGCCGGUGCCACCAUCUUGACCUAGUACCGGUAGCUGCAUCCACCAGAUCCUCUGCUCCGGCCAUCAGAUUCUUGGUUCCGAUUCUUGGUUAGUGUUGGAUCUCUCCUUUUUGCUCUAUAGUGAAGAUCCGACCAAGAUUCCUGUUUCGGCUGGAAUACUCGCAAGUAUUAGCGAUACGAACAUAACCUAAAGAUCAAUGGAAGGAUGUUUGAUUUGGGGAUGAUGAAUAUAAAUGGCAACGACUUCACUUGGUCUCGACCACAGUCUCCAACAGUGGGUUGCUCCGAUUUUGGCUUAUUGAUGGCUCCUAGCACUGCCGACACCAAUAUGUGGACUUGGAUUCGGGACGAGCGUCUCGAUACGGGAUUACUUGACACGAGCUAUAUUUUAAGG